AGCAGCCGCGGUAAUUCCAGCUCCAAUAGCGUAUAUUAAAGUUGUUGCAGUUAAAAAGCUCGUAGUUGAAUUUCGGGAUCAGCGCGUCGGUCGUGCCUCCGGUAUGCACUGGCGCCGCUGGUUUCUCCCUUCUGAGGAACCGUGAUGUCAUUAAUUUGGUGUUGCGGGAAAUCAGGACUGUUACUUUGAAAAAAUUAGAGUGUUUAAAGCGGGCACGCGCUUGAAUACAUUAGCAUGGAAUAACGAAAUAGGACGUUCGAUCUUAUUUUGUUGGUUUCUAGGAUUGACGUAAUGAUUAAUAGGGAUAGUUGGGGGCAUUAGUAUUCAAUUGUCAGAGGUGAAAUUCUUGGAUUUAUUGAAGACUAACUACUGCGAAAGCAUUUGCCAAGGAUGUUUUCAUUAAUCAAGAACGAAAGUUAGGGGAUCGAAGACGAUCAGAUACCGUCGUAGCCUUAACCAUAAACUAUGCCGACUAGGGAUCGGAUGAUGUUAAUUUUAUAAUGACUCAUUCGGCCG
rnacentral:rRNA from 1 species